rnacentral:tRNA from 3 species
GCCGCGGUGGCGGAAUUGGUAGACGCACACGACUCAAAAUCGUGCGCCGAAAGGUAUGAGAGUUCGAUUCUCUCCCGCGGCACCA